GGAUCGCAUGGCCUUGCGCCGGCGACGGUUCAUUCAAAUUUCUGCCCUAUCAACUUUCGAUGGUAAGGUAUUGGCUUACCAUGGUUUCAACGGGUAACGGGGAAUUAGGGUUCGAUUCCGGAGAGGGAGCCUGAGAAACGGCUACCACAUCCAAGGAAGGCAGCAGGCGCGCAAAUUACCCAAUCCCGACACGGGGAGGUAGUGACAAUAAAUACUGAUACAGGGCUCUUUUGGGUCUUGUAAUCGGAAUGAGUACAAUUUAAACCUCUUAACGAGGAACAAUUGGAGGGCAAGUCUGGUGCCAGCAGCCGCGGUAAUUCCAGCUCCAAUAGCGUAUAUUAAAGUUGUUGCAGUUAAAAAGCUCGUAGUUGAAUCUUGGGCCUGGCUGGCCGGUCCGCCUCACCGCGUGUACUGGUCUGGCCGGGCCUUUCCUUCUGGAGAACCUCAUGCCCUUCAGUGGGUGUGUUGGGGAACCAGGACUUUUACUUUGAAAAAAUUAGAGUGUUCAAAGCAGGCCUUUGCUCGAAUACGUUAGCAUGGAAUAAUAGAAUAGGACGUGCGGUCCUAUUUUGUUGGUUUCUAGGACCGCCGUAAUGAUUAAUAGGGAUAGUCGGGGGCAUCAGUAUUCAAUUGUCAGAGGUGAAAUUCUUGGAUUUAUUGAAGACUAACUACUGCGAAAGCAUUUGCCAAGGAUGUUUUCAUUAAUCAGUGAACGAAAGUUAGGGGAUCGAAGACGAUCAGAUACCGUCGUAGUCUUAACCGUAAACUAUGCCGACUAGGGAUCGGGCGAUGUUUCUAUCUUGACUCGCUCGG
rnacentral:rRNA from 2 species